UACGGAGGGUGCGAGCGUUGUCCGGAAUCACUGGGCGUAAAGGGCGCGUCAGCGGCCUUCUAAGUCUAACGUGAAAUCCCCGGGCUCAACCCGGGAACUGCGUCCGAUACUGGGAGGCUUGAAUCCGGGAGAGGGAUGUGGAAUUCCAGGUGUAGCGGUGAAAUGCGUAGAUAUCUGGAGGAACACCGGUGGCGAAGGCGGCAUCCUGGACCGGUAUUGACGCUGAGGCGCGAAAGCCAGGGGAGCAAACGGG
rnacentral:rRNA from 1 species